GAAAUAAUGAACUGUUUGGAAUUUGAAAAUUUACUCAUUCCUCGCAUGUAUAGCGGUCGCCUUUUAUGAGCUUAUAAGCUAUCUCACCUACCAUAAUUUUCCACUUAAAAUUAUUUUGCCAGACUAGAUUCAGAGUGGAAAUAGUACAAACUCUACGCACAUCCAGCAACCCUGCGAAUCAAAACGCUAACUUUUUCAUCAGCAAGUACAUUUGUUGAUCAACUUCAAAGCCGUGCAAGUUGUUGGCAUCACCUUGUAGACGCAUCAGCAGGCCACCGAAGGAAACGUACGCUGAUAAUCUGGAAGACGCUUCAUUAUGAGCUUCAUCGCCUUCGAUGCGAUACACUUUUCCAAACAUAACGUAUUCGAAGCUAUCCGCACGUGUGCCUUCCUGUUCCAGCGGGUUAAAUUCGCCACUGUCCGGACAGCCGUCUUCUCGCAAAGUUGUAGCCAGCACCAAGCGGAAUUUAUCACCUAAUUCCAUGGGGUAUAA